rnacentral:rRNA from 1 species
GUCUUUAUGUAAUUUAUAUAAAGUCUAGCCUGCCCAUUGAUAAAUUUAAAAGGCCGCGGUAUUUUGACCGUGCAAAGGUAGCAUAGUCAUUAGUCUUUUAAUUGUAGGCUUGAAUGAAUGGUUGAACAAGAAAUAAACUGUCUUAAUAAAAUAAAUUGAAUUUAAUAUUUAAGUAAAAAAGCUUAAAUAAUUUAAAGUGACGAUAAGACCCUAUAAAAUUUAAUAAUUAAAAGUAAAAGAUUGAAUUAGUUUAUUAAUUUUUUUUUAUUUUUGAUUUAUUUUAUUGGGGCGAUAAUAAUAAAAAUAAUAACUGUUUAAAAAUUAUAAUGAUAAUUAUUAGAUAAUUUGAAUGAUCCUUUGUUAGAGAUUAAAAGAUUAAAUUACUUUAGGGAUAACAGCGUAAUUUUCUUUGAGAGUUCUUAUUUACAAGAAAGAUUACGACCUCGAUGUUGAAUUAAAAGUUCUUUAAGGUGUAGCAGCUUUAAUAGGAGGUCUGUUCGACCUUUAAAUUUUU